CAAUGGGGAAAGGAUUCCCUGUUUAAUAAAUGGUGUUGGGAAAACUGGCUAGCCAUAAGCAGAGCCAGUCAUUUCUUAGUAUGCAUUGAACUCAUGCCAAACUAUUGUUUCUCACUAUUAUUGUCUAAAAAACAACGUGUACUAGAAAUGUGAGACAGGAAAUGUCCAUCUGACCUUAUUACGGUAGAAGGAAUUUUCCAGAGUCCAUAUGCUGAUGUAAUUAUUUUAAGAAUUAUUUUUAUUUUUUAAAGUGGUAGAUCCUUAGAACAAUUGUCUUUGCUGUCACCGGCAUAGCACAUGGCUUAUCAUCUUCCGUUUGGAGGAACAGAGCACUGUAAUUGCUGCAAUCAGGUUUUAUAUUAUUUUCUAAUUAGGUUUUAGGAGUUCUUUUUAUUUGCUUGGUUUAUUUGUGUGUGUGAAAUGUAACAUAUAUAUUUGUAUGUCUUAAGCUUUACUUCCUUUGGAAGGUCCUUAAUUUAUUUUACAUAUUCCUUUUUCCACAAAGCUAUGACCAUAUAACUUACUUCCUUCUGUUCCAGUAUUGUACUUUAUGUAAUUUCCUGUAAACAGCAGCAAACAACUUCAGUAUACACUAGCUGUUUGUUCAGUGUUCUUGCAGUACUUACAAUGGACAUUUCUCAGCAUAAUUAAUCUCUUUUUAAAAUUUGGCCCUAUUCUUGUCAGCACCAAUACUAUACUUUGAAAUGAAUGGAAAUGCAGUAGUCAUUGAAGGGAUACGAAUUAAAUCUUAAACUGGGUCUAGGGAUGAGGUGACAAGGGAAAGAACUCUCACAAACCUGGUGCUUUGUUUCUCCUUUGUGAAGUGAAAAGCAAUGAGCUAUACUCUGUGAAAGAAAGGAAAUGGUGCUGACGAGCUUUUCCCCAACCACUGUCCACCUGUGGUUCAGAACUAGCAGAAGUCAACUAGUUAUUUAGUUUGCUAGCACAUUAAGUGUGACAUUUGAUUAUAUGAGCAUCAAGAACUAGAUAUUCAGGCAUAAUUCACGUCCUUUUUCUCUUUCAUUAUAAUGAGUAACUUUAAUUCUUGUUUUAUAUUUGCUUGAAUCCAUGAUCUGUUUUUAAUCCUGUAUCUUCUGUGUCUGACAGGCUCCAUUUCAUCCAUUUUUUAGUUGUCUUUUUUUUUCCAUAUAGUUUUACAGAAUCCCGCAAAUCCUUUUCUCACUAGUAGUACUAUUUCUAAUGCCAAUUUAAACCUUUUUAUUCCAGCAUACUUUGUGCAGAAUGAAUUAAGUGUAUCUAUAGAGAAUGAAUGAUUGGUAUUCAGCCAAGCUUUGCCUGUGUCUUUCCAUGACCAAAAACAAGUCAGGUGAAAAGGGAAAAAAAAAUCAGUGAGUCUGUUGUUUCAUCUUUAUGACUCUGAACAAUCUAUUUGUAUAUUUUGGGAAAAUUUUUUCUCAUUGAAUCACUGUGUAUAUUUAUCAUGUAUUCAACUGAUAGUUGAAUUUUCAUUAUAUAGCUAUAUGGUAAAAAGUUUUGAAUGAGAAACUACUUUUUAUAGCCAUUUCAGAAACAAGUAAGGUCAGUGAGCAUCUUGUUUUAGGAAGAGGGGGAUGGUGGGGACAUUGGACUGAAAGGAAGUCCUAUGUCAGAGGGCUCUGUGCACAUUUUCCUGAAGUACCUCAGCUAUGCUUAAAUGUAAUCUGUUAUUUUAACCAAUCAUAAUGGUUGCAUUUUGCCUUUUCUCAUAUAAAUUAUAAAUGUGAUGACUUAUAAAUAUGGCAAAAGUUUAUUUUUCAGGAUGCCUCUCCCUUCUCUAACUCGAACAGACUAAAUUCUGUUUCCAAAGACUUCAAAAGUGACCAGAUUAUUGUGAAAGGAGAAACACUGUUUUCGAGGGCUGCUGAUAAUGCCUGGUAGCCAGAAGAAACAGCCUGAAUCAUUCAAAGGUUUUCUACCUGGCAAAGAAAUGUGGUAAAAAUCUUGCCCAGAUCUGCAUGUGCUAAGCAUCCAGGUAAGUUGGAGCAUCAUAUUAAUGGCACACAGUGAAGAAACGAAAGGUAAAACUAUAAUGCAAUGUAUUUCUGUGCCUCAUGUUGAAACUUCACAUUCAAAGGGUAAAGGGACUUCAUUCUUCUUCUCCUUCCCCAGCUUGUCUAUUGCAGUUUUGUAUUGAAAUGUUCUCUGGAUUCAUAAAAUAUUUAGGGACUACAUAAAGAAGAAAGACUUUGGAAUCAAAGGCAAGGUUCACCUAACACAACUUUUGUUAGAAGAAACUAGGAAAUCAGGAUCUAUCAAAGGCCCAGUGUUAAUCGGUACCGGUUUCUCACUGUGUUUUGAUUAGAAGAAUAUUGAACAGCAAACAUUUAAGGAUUUGUUUGACUGAAUAUCGACUUAAAGUUCUGAUCUCUAGUAAUGUCAGACGUAUUGCCUUGGUAAAUUGUACAGGUGAAUUGUUAAAGAUGAAAACAUAACAUAUAUUUAUUGUUUGAAUAACUUUAGAGAAAAAACCCCUAAUGCUAUUUAUUUUUCAGAAUCAAGUGUAAUUACUAUAUCAAAAAUCCACAGAAUGUGAAAGUAUAAAGGAAAACUAUCAGGAAACCAGCAGUUGUGAUUUUCUUCAGCAAUUCUUAAUUUGCUCAGCUAAAAACUUUGGAGUUAGACAUAUGGACAGCCCACCCCAAGGAAAGAAUCAGAGGAGAAGGGACACAAGACCCCGGAAACAAACGAAGCACCUUAAUAUGCAUGCUGCAUCUCUCUAAAAUGGUGGAACCUGUUUACCUGCUCUGGAGAAUGGCUGCCUGGGGCAGACAUAGGAGUUGUUCUUACGCUGUGCUUCCUGUGUUCCACAGUAAUGGAAUUGUAGCUGCAAGGCAGUUACCAACCAGGAAUACAAUUUCUCAGCCCCACAUCUUGCACCUACAGCUAAGUGUGGCCAUAUGACCAGUUUUCAUCAAUUAAGUGUGAAUAGAAACAAAGUGUACAACCUUCAAGUGGAGACUUUGAAGAAGAAGGGCAGCCAUCCCUUGUUCUCUUUCCCCUUCCGCUGGUGGGAUACAGAUGACAAUAAGGCCUUGGGUUUUGAGGUAGCCACAGAUGCAAAAUGCCUCAGACCUGAGUCACAAUGUGGAAAAGAGAAGUCUACUUACCUGGAACACCCAGCUUGGUCUAUAGAUGACCAAGAAAUAAACUUCUAUUAUGUUUGAACAUUACAGAUUUUGUUCGUUAUAGUAGUUUAUCUCAUCCUGACUAAACUGUUGCAUAUCUUUCAAGAUAGGCCCUCCUUCCCUGAAAGUGACUUCUUCAUACAUGUAAUCUAUAUUUUAAUUCAUAUUCUCCAAAGCAUAUCUACAUCUAUUCAACUAUUUUCAUGUGUUCCAUCAACAGAAACUUCAUAUAAAUAAAUAUAUAUGAAGAUUUUUUUUUUUUAAAGACA